rnacentral:rRNA from 1 species
GAUGAACGCUAGCGGGAGGCUUAAUACAUGCAAGUCGAGGGGUAACAUGAGAGCUUGCUCUUGAUGACGACCGGCGCACGGGUGAGUAACGCGUACACUACCUACCUUAUGGUACGGGAUAGCCCUGGGAAACUGGGAGUAAUACCGUAUGGUAUCGUGAGAUUAAAGAUUUAUCGCCAUAAGAUGGGUGUGCGUUUGAUUAGCUAGUUGGUGAGGUAACGGCUUACCAAGGCUACGAUCAAUAGGGGGCGUGAGAGCGUGACCCCCCACACGGGUACUGAGACACGGACCCGACUCCUACGGGAGGCAGCAGUAAGGAAUAUUGGACAAUGGAGGAAACUCUGAUCCAGCCAUCCCGCGUGAAGGAUGAAGGCCCUCUGGGUUGUAAACUUCUUUUAUAGAGGAAGAAUGGUGUUGAUUUAUCAGCAUUUGACGGUACUCUACGAAUAAGCACCGGCUAACUCCG